rnacentral:rRNA from 1 species
GACGAACGCUGGCGGCGCGCUUAACACAUGCAAGUCGAGCGAAGCGGCGGACGGGUGAGUAACACGUGAGUAACCUGCCUUAGACAUUGGGAUAGCCUCGGGAAACCGGGAUUAAUACCAAAUGGUCUAAGAUGGACUCGCGUCCCAUUAGAUAGUUGGUGAGGUAACGGCCCACCAAGGCGACGAAGGGUAGCCGGCAGCAGAGGGUGGACGGCUACAUUGGAACUGUGAAACGGUCCAGACUCUACGGGAGGCAGCAGUGGGGGAUAUUGCAAAAUGGAGGGAACGCUGAUGCAGCGACGCCGCGUGAACGAAGAAGUCUUUCGAGUCGUAAAGUUCUUUUAUAUGGGAAGCGGUACCAUAAGAAAAAGCCCCGGCUAACUACGUGCCAGCAGCCGCGGUAAUAC